GUAUUUUAUAUUCUGCAUUUUUUGGAGCAAACAGAGCUCGAGGAUUGGACCAGUUUAUGUAGUAGUUUUAUAAUCUUUAAUUUUAGCAGGACAAAAAUGUGCCUGGUGCCGAUUGAUUUCGCGGACCUCACUUAUUACCGAUACAAUUCGUCACCAAAACAAUAUGCAGUGACCACUGUCAACUCAACUAACAAACCGUGAUGUGACACUGGGCAUUUUGAAGAGUUGCAGACGUACAGUGUAAAUGGACACAAACAGACAAACAAUCAAUUGUGUUCAGAUCAUGUACAUAAUUGUAAAGUGAAGUUCUAUGAAUACGAGAAUACAAAAUGUACCAGCAAUAUCUGAUAUGUAAAUUUUACAAAUAUAUACAGUCAAACUUCAUUAACUCGAACUCGGAUAACUCGAAAACCCCGUUCAACUCGAAGUAUUACUCCGGUCCCGGCAAAAAUCCUUCUUUUUCUUAGUAAUAAAAACUCGGAUAAAACGAACUCGGAUAAUUCGAAAAACUCGGUUAUUCCGAAGUAAAAUAUUGGUCGCGAUAUUAUAAAACCUAUUUAAAAUGUACCAGUUAUCCCGAAGUUGAAAACAUCAUUUUCAUUUUUAAACAAAAUGUGUCAACAAAAUACUCAUCGUACGUCUCGGUUAAAUUGUUUACAAUUUCGCGCACGGGAAAUUUCCAGUUUUUGUUUCGUUUUGUUAUUAAAUUACCUUAAACAUAUCUGACUAUUUUUACUGUAAAAUCCGUCUUUAUUAAGAUCCAACAGUAUUGAUGUUGACAAACAGAACUUACAUAAUCCCUUUGAUGAUUAAAGCAGUGCGAUAAUUAUACCCAAGUUACACCAAAGCUGGCGCCUCUGUACAGCUGUCUAGGUCACCAUGUGCGUUCAGGCGGAACAAUCCGACACACCUGAAAUCACAACUAUGGCCGGGUAGCGUGUGAAUUAAUUCCAGGACUUCGUUUCUGUUCGAACUAUGAUAAACUGUGCAUUUCCUGCUGCUACUGCACUUGUCAACACGUGAUCUGUGCAGAUACAUUUGUGUACAUCAGCUUUAGGACUUUAUUUAUAUGGAUAUUUGUGGUGUGACCAAUACUAGAAGAUAAAUGCCAUCCCCUGCCACCAGAGACAGCAGAUUUAGGCAUCUUUUCCCUAUAGCUACACUCUCCCACUAUUCUGUCAUUGAUUAAAAUUAUAUAACUUAA